rnacentral:rRNA from 1 species
GGGCCCGCACAAGCGGUGGAGCAUGUGGUUUAAUUCGACGCAACGCGAAGAACCUUACCAGAUCUUGACAUCUUCCGCUACGCCUCGAGAGAGGCGGUUCCCCUUCGGGGACGGAAUGACAGGUGGUGCAUGGUUGUCGUCAGCUCGUGUCGUGAGAUGUUGGGUUAAGUCCCGCAACGAGCGCAACCCCUAAUCUUAGUUGCCAGCAUUCAGUUGGGCACUCUAAGGUGACUGCCGGUGACAAACCGGAGGAAGGUGGGGAUGACGUCAAAUCAUCAUGCCCCUUAUGAUCUGGGCUACACACGUGCUACAAUGGAUGGUACAACGGGAUGCGAACCCGCGAGGGGGAGCCAAUCCAGAAAAGCCAUUCUCAGUUCGGAUUGCAGGCUGCAACUCGCCUGCAUGAAGCCGGAAUCGCUAGUAAUCG